rnacentral:rRNA from 1 species
CUACGGGAUGCACCAGUGAGGAAUAUUGCACAAUGGGGGGAACCCUGAUGCAGCAACGCCGCGUGGAGGAUGACGCAUUUCGGUGUGUAAACUCCUUUUAUAUGUCAAGAAAAUGACGGUAGCAUAUGAAUAAGCACCGGCUAACUCCAUGCCAGCAGCCGCGGUAAUACGGAGGGUGCAAGCGUUACUCGGAAUCACUUGGCGUAAAGGACGCGUAGGCGGGUUGGAAAGUCAGGUGUGAAAUCCUACAGCUUAACUGUAGAACUGCACUUGAAACUUCUAAUCUAGAGUAUGGGAGGGGGAGGUGGAAUUAGUGGUGUAGGGGUAAAAUCCGUAGAUAUCACUAGGAAUACCUAAAGCGAAGGCGAUCUCCUGGAACAUUACUGACGCUAAGGCGUGAAAGCGUGGGGAGCAAACAGGAUUAGAUACCCGCGUAGUC